rnacentral:rRNA from 1 species
GUGCCAGGCAAAUCCGGUGCCGGAGCCGAACCUGAGAGUAUGGAGCGUCCUUCGGGACAAUCCAACAGCGCGCGUAAUCAUACUUCCAAGAAAAUCCGCUAAACUUAAUCAUGCCGGUACCCGUACCGCAAACGGACACACGUAGUCGGGUUGAAUAUACUGAGGCGCUUGAGUGAAUCACGGUUAAGGAACUAGGCAAACUGACCCUGUAACUUCGGGAUAAAGGGUC